CCUACGGGAGGCAGCAGUGAGGAAUAUUGGUCAAUGGCCGAAAGGCUGAAGCAGCGAAGUAGCGUGAAGGAAGAAGGAUCUAUGGUUUGUAAACUUCUUUUAUAGGGGAAUAAAGGUAUACACGUGUGGAAAUUUGCAUGUACCCUAUGAAUAAGCAUAGGCUAACUCAGUGCCAGCAGCCGCGGUAAUAAGGAGGAUGCGAGCGUUAUCCGGAUUUAUUGGGUUGAAAGGGUGCGUAGGUUGGUUUUUAAGUCAGCGGUGAAAGUUUGUGGCUCAACCAUAGAAUUGCCGUUGAAACUGGAAGACUUGAGUGUGUUUGAGGUAGGCGGAAUGCGUGGUGUAGCGGUGAAAUGCAUAGAUAUCACGCAGAACUCCGAUUGCGAAGGCAGCUUACUAGGCCUUAACUGACACUGAGGCACGAAAGCGUGGGGAUCAAACAGGAUUAGAUACCCCUGUAGUC
rnacentral:rRNA from 1 species